GUAUCAUUACCGGAACAACCCAAGCCUCUCUACUCUACAAGAACAUGUCAAGUCAUUAGUUAAUUGAUUGCAUUUGGUGUAAGAGAAAUAUCCAAACUAUAAAUUUGAAAGUUUGUAAUGGUUAAAUAAAUUUAAAUUGUAUGUAAUGUAAUUUAGUGGUUUAUUCUAAUUUUGUAAUGUUCUUGUGUUGCAAGUUCGAAUUAGUGAAGGAUGUGAGUUUCUUUAGAAAUAUUUCUAAAUAUUUUUUUUUGGUAUAUAACAGAGUAAUUGAAGAAACUUGAUUAUGUAAAAUAUCACCGAUCAAUAUGCUUAAUGUGAGUAUAAAAUUCAUGCCAAAUUUUUUAAAGUAUUUAAUGGAAAUUUAUCAAUUUACUCAUUUAUAUAUGGUUUAUAUAAAAUAGCUGAGACUAAUAAAACCUAAAACAUAAUAUCUACACACUUUGAUGUCUAUCUUUUUAGGUUCUAUUGCAAAAAGAUUUUAUAGAAUGGACUUAUUGAAGAAAGUAUACUAUUUAUAUAUAGACCCCAAUUGGACUAGUUCACCUUGACUACAAAGUAUACUAUUAUAUUAUUAUUAGCUAAAUGAACAAUGAAGCAUACAACUUGUUAAUUAGUAGUUGUUUAUAUAGCAUCCGUUUAAUUUAACAUUUUUUGGUUAUAUUAUACAUUUAAUCAUUUAAGUUUAUUUUAGGUUUCAUUUUAGUCAACUUCUAAUCUCAUUCUUAGAAAGACACUCAUCAACUUCCAUACUACCAUAGAGACAUCAACCCGACCUAUAAAAACACCAUUAGACACUAACUUGCGAUCUCGAAUAAAAAAUUAU
rnacentral:lncRNA from 1 species